CUUAACCGUACAUUUUGUUUUCACAGAUUAACCUCGCCUCAUAACGAGGCCGUGACCUAUUUGCUCGGAGCAAGUCCAGAUUUACAUGAUGUUGACAAUGACGGCAUUGUGUCUGCCUGUAAUUACGAGACAGUAAGCAGGAGCUUCAGGUAGAAACAACCAGAUCUUGCAUCGCAGGCGGAAGCUGUGAAGAGUUCAGCUCGGAGUCCAGCGAGAAGAAAGAGGCUGCUGGAAGCGAGACAGUGUGCUGGAUGGAUUGUGCAUCCUUUUCGCAGCCAGCAGAAGUACAGGGAAACGCACCACAGACGUCUGCAAAACGGACCGAA